rnacentral:misc_RNA from 1 species
UUUGAGUCUAUGCCUUAUUAAUAUAGUUAUGUAUGAACUAAUCAAUUAUAUUCAAGAUGUCUUAGCAGAUGAAACUAGUGAAGGAGAUAACCAAAAGUUGGGGUUGUGGAGGACUUUCGAGAUUAGGAUUUUGGGCUAAAUAGAAAUAAGAAAUAAUAUAUGCUUUGCAAUUUUUGCUCUCGGAGAACGCAUGGAAAGGUGG